UUCUCCUACAAUGUGAAAAAUAAAGGAACAAAGAUGCAGUUAAUGCCCAUGCACUUGAUGCAAUGAUGUACUUCUGUGUGCCUGGCUGUAUGUGACUCAGAGGCAAGAUACCAGGGACAUUUGGCAGGUCAAUGCUCAUUUGAGAGGAUGAACAUGCAUUACGUGUGGUCUGAGCUGUUCAAGCAGACCCUCACCACCUUACAGACACACAAAGAAGUUCCAGGACUAAGCAGGCAGAAGCAUCCUCCUGGAAACCCAAUUCCAAGCCUGGAUGGAGGACCCUGUCAUGGCACCAUCCAGCUGCACGCACAGAGCAGCAUCAGGAUGGGACCAGCAAUCGGUGAGACUUUUCCUGGGCAUGGACCACUCGACUCACAGCACAAACAAAACCACUCAAAUUACCUGCUUCAGUUCCUUGACUUCAUCUUUCAGUGCAUAAACUGUGUCAACGAGGCUCCUGCAAAAAAAAAAUAUGCAAAAACUCAAAAACCAAACUAAAACAGAACGAGCUGAAGUGCAGUAAAACAGCAACAACGUGGGAGCUUUUGUGACUGAAGCACUUAUGGGGAAGGUGCUUCCAGCUCCCUUUUCUCCACUGCCAAUUGCAGGCAUUGGGCUGCCACUGGCACUGUUACCUAUGAAGUCACUCUGGAAACAGAGCCCAGGAGCAUUUAUGGACUACCAGCCAAAAAUUCAGGGCUCUUUUCUCAACACUGAAGGAAAAAAAAAAAAAAAAAAGCAAACCAAGCAACCUUGUUCUGCUCUCUUUAAGUUAACAACAAAGGUCUGUGGCUUUGGCUUCCUUGUUUAUGCUACUGCAAAAAAAAAAAAAGUUUUAAAAUUGAAGUGCCUGAGUAUCUUUUGUUAAAUGGCCCUGAUUCCUUGAGGUUGUGCUUGGAGAGGAAAAAAAAAAAACAAGGAAUGCAUUGCCUGGGUUAGAAAAGGAGGGGACCAACGUAAUAACCCAGAUGCUGAAGCGUUAAGUGCUAUGGAGCAGACUGGGAGCACUCACAGGCAGCAUCACACAGCCUCACGAGGGGUAGCAGCAGCCUGCUAUGUCUGUAGCUUAAAAAAAAAAAAACACUUGUUUGGUUCUGUCCUCCCUGACCCAGUUCAAUACAUCCGGAGAGGCUCUGGGACGCAAUAAAUGCUCUCAAGACCCAGGCACAGGCUCCCAGGAGGCUGCAGCCAUGUCAGAGCAGCUGGGAAUGUGACUCUGUUCUCGAAAAGGGACAAAAUAGCAACUGGAAUAGCCCGGCAUUUCUGGCACAGCCAGGAUAAGGCUCCUGACCACUUCUGUGGGCAGACGACGGAGAGGGCACUGUUUUUUAACCAUCCUUCCAAAAAGUGACAGGGGAAUCUGCAGCCUUGCUUACUUUUCCUCGGUGACAGUCUGGCCAUUGCUUCUUGUUUCCUCGAUGAUGAUUUUCUCUUCCUCAGGAAGAAGGACUUGGGGGAUGGAGUCUUUACGGGAGCCUGUGUGCAAGAAUUACUCAUCAGGAAGAAAAAGGGAGACUUUCCCUGGCGCCCACGCCGUGCCGGAGGCAGCACAGCAAAUGCAGCCGUCACUCGCCCUGGGAGCGGGAGGCUCGGCAGGGUUAAAUGCGGGCUGGGGUGUGCGGCUGAGCCAGAGCCAGGCCACGAAGGGAAAGUUUCCAAGAGUGCUCAGGGCACCUAAAGCUACAUCAUUAUUUAUAAAUUAAAUCACUCAGUUCAGGUCAAGAGCUCUCAGAAGAAAUAUGGUCUCCCUUCUAUAAAUAUGCCAUUAUUUGAUAGUUCAGUGAUUUAAUUUGACAUCUUACCAGCAAUGAUAAAUAGUUAUAUUUCCAGAGUUUAAGAUGUUAGAUAGGUUCUUAUGAAGUAGCUUGUUCUAAACAUGCAGCUGAUUGAGAGAUAAUAUUCAUGCUUCCUUUCUAAAGCUAUAUGCAACCUGAGAUUACUAUCAGAUUUUCAGUGCUGACAGCCACAGGCACUGACUAGGUUCGUUUAAUUCCUAACAAGUGCUGCAAGUGCUGGUGAAGUAGCUGUGUCUCAUCUACCCUCCUACCUCCUCAUUCUCUGUGUUUAGAAGAAAAACAAUGGCAACUAAACCACUAGGUAGAUGAAGCUCCCUUAUCUUGAAGAUUGAACACCACACAGUUUCCUAGCAUGAGUCUCAUUGCUGUCUGAUGCAACCAUCUGUUUUUUUCCCAGACAGGUUAUCAGUGUUACAGGCAGAAUGAACAUUAACUAAUCUGUUUGUGCCCACCUGAACUGAGAGCUUGCUGGAAGCCUGCCCCGGUACAGUAUGCCUCGAUCACCUUCAAGAUCUGAGCAUCUUCUUCCAAUGCAGCAGUACCUGUAAGACAUUGCAGACAACAGCUGCCACAAAAAGCCAGGUGCUCUGGAUUCUUCUCUCCCAGCCUUCCUGUUAAGGGACUUCAGAGCAAGAGAGCAUUGUUUCCUCGACUGACAGUCUUGGGGACUUUCCCUAAUCCCUUUUCGAAUUCCCUUACAUUUUCUGGCCUUUGCAACAUCCUGUGACAUCAAGCACUAUGACUAAAUGGUAUGAAAAAGCCCUUCUAGGGCUCACCUUAGCAAAAUUUGGGGGAUGAUGCCUGACUUUGGGUGCCAGCAGCACAGGGAGAUGGGCAGGCAGAACAGCCUUCCUGGGAGGGCUUCCCAGAGGAGGACAGUGCCCUGGGGAUGUUUGGUACAGCCACAACACAAUAGGACUCUGAAAGGUGAAGUCUUCAUUCCUAACCCUAGUUCAGUGCUAAUUUCAAGUAACCUCAAGGUCAUACUGCAGCAGCGUACCACUGGCCUUUCACCCCUCCCUCUCCCAAGGAAUACCCCAGACUGGCUUCAGGUAGCAGUCAGGACAUCUUUCUUUGCAGGUGAACACCUCUGCAAGAACAGGGCCUCAUUUUUAUUCUCUUGUGCCCUGUGGAAAUGGCUCCAGGACCUGACAGCAUGGACGGCCACAAGACCACCCAGAGCCACGUGAUCUCACAGUAAGAAUCAUGAUGAGGACAGUCACAGCUCGGAGGGGAUCUGUAAGUGCCUGGGAAAGGCUGCACGUGCAGGAGCCUCCCAUGCUCAGCAGCACGUAGGCUUGCUCAUGUGCCACAUUCAGCGCCAUAAGAAAGGUUGCUCUCAAAGCCCCGUGGAGAUUACUGAGCACAAAGAAACCACAGAAAAGAAGAGAAAAAUUCAACACUUACUUUUCCUAAUAACAAACUCUUCAUCUGAUGCUUUUCUCUCAGUUUUCCUUUUUGGAAGAAACUUCUUCAUGGUUUUUGGACUUUUGCUGGAGUCCUAUAGAGAAACAGACUCUUGUAUUUGACCAGAACCAAAGGCAGCUCAAACAAUGGAGCAGCUCAGGUUGAAUGUGGCUGUCUGUGUUAUGCACAACACAUUAGAGAACUACAAAGCAGACAACGGCAAAGCUGGAGAACAUUAUGCUUUUUGCCUUUCCCAUGCACUAGUCCUUUAGCCACUGCUCCCUCUAACAGCGGUGGGAAUUGCACCUGCAGGUCCAGGGCAGGACACACUCCUUUAGCAAAUAUCCCUCAGCUAAUAUCCUUUGGCCAAAGAAUUCCAACAUAUUCACAGCACUUCGGGUCUUUGUUAGAAAACCUAAAAUACUGUUUAU